GACGAACGCUGGCGGCGUGCUUAACACAUGCAAGUCGAACGGAAAGGCCCUGCUUUUGUGGGGUGCUCGAGUGGCGAACGGGUGAGUAACACGGGAGUAACCUGCCCUUGACUUUGGGAUAACUUCAGGAAACUGGGGCUAAUACCGGAUAGGAGCUCCUGCUGCAUGGUGGGGGUUGGAAAGUUUCGGCGGUUGGGGAUGGACUCGCGGCUUAUCAGCUUGUUGGUGGGGUAGUGGCUUACCAAGGCUUUGACGGGUAGCCGGCCUGAGAGGGUGACCGGCCACAUUGGGACUGAGAUACGGUCCAGACUCCUACGGGAGGCAGCAGUGGGGAAUAUUGCACAAUGGGCGGAAGCCUGAUGCAGCAACGCCGCGUGCGGGAUGACGGCCUUCGGGUUGUAAACCGCUUUCGCCUGUGACGAAGCGUGAGUGACGGUAAUGGGUAAAGAAGCACCGGCUAACUACGUG
rnacentral:rRNA from 1 species